rnacentral:lncRNA from 1 species
CACCUCAACUACCGGUUCCUGGGUCUUUUCGUCUUCUUUCUCAACCUCAAUUUGUAUGUUAUGUUCUUCUUGGAUAGGUUGUACUGUCACCUCCGUCAGCUUCAUUGACUUAUCUAUCUCAAUGGGCACUAGUAUAAGUGUCUCAACCUGUCUACUUUCUUGGGCCCUGUCUUGCUCCAAGUCUAAGUCUUUGCCAAUACAUAGACUCACUGCCAUCAGCUGCUUCAGGCCUUGAUCUUUUGGAUUUACCUGUGUGUCUGCAGGCAAUGUCCCAUGAGGACGAUUGUUCAAGGACAUUGAAAUCUGGCCCAUCUCUACUUAAUAUUCUUAAUAGCUGAUUCAUGGGUUUUUCUUCAUUGGCCUUAUAUCCAC